rnacentral:misc_RNA from 1 species
GUUAUUGUUCAUCUAUGAUCUUUUCACUUGAAAUUAAUGGUUACCUUACCUCACAGGUACUGGCUUCCAGCCAGAUUUUUGAACCUCCAUCAAAUCCUUGGGAUACCAAAAUUGUAAUCAGAUUGAAAUUAUUUAAUUCCUGUGCUCUCUCCACUUGUAAUCAAAAUCUUCUGCUCAGAGUUUCUGUUGAUGCUCUGGAUAGGGAGGGUCUGAAUUUAUGAUCAGGCCUGUUAG